CUCUGAGUAUUCUCGCUGUUCUGAUUUUGUAAUAAUUGGAGUAGGCUAAACAUUUAUUAUAAUAAGACCAUGAUUGUGUCCCCAGACCUAAUUCUUUACUACUCCUAGGUCUGAUUUUAGAAAUGUUGAUGAUAAAU